GCCAGCGUAGUGUAGUGGUUUGAAUGUUGGACUCAGACUCUGGAGACCAGGGUUCGAAUCCCUGUUCUGCCA
rnacentral:tRNA from 1 species